rnacentral:lncRNA from 1 species
GCGGUCUUUCCGCCGGAGCCAGAGAAGCAGCAGUUUACUGCGGGGAACUGUGUCCUCGAACAUGCCGAAAACUCCGAAUUCAGACCUUCACUGUGUGAGAUGGGUUGAUGAACGAAGGAGUGCUGGUGAGGAGGAGCACGUGGUUGGUGGGGGUUGAGACCAGUAUUGAUUUCUGGACAAUGAUGUAACUAUACAGCAGUGAUUUUAGAGAUCGCUGAAAUGGUGGUGCAGCAUGGCUUUGCCCAGGUGGUGCUGAUUGAUCUAAUUAAAUUGGGUCAGAUCAGGUAUGCAUUUUUCUUUUAUAAAAUCUACAUUAAGCUGAAUUUUUGUAUUGUUCUGCAAGCCAGUGAUGAAACAAAGUUAUCCCUGUCUGAAAUGACCAUGUGGAGUCUUGGUAACCUGAGGCUUGUCUUGUUAGUUGCUGAAGAUUUUUUUUUUUUUUUUUUUUUUAAAGGUACAAUCUUGUGUGUAUGCACUAACUGACUGUAUGGCAUUCUCAUUUCAGGUGUUGAAGGAACUUCUGUUCUGCACUGGGUUUAGCAUGAGAAAUGCUGGAGACAAGACUGGAAGGAUCAGGAUGCAUCUUUAUACUAUAAUGAAACGUUUGGAGUGCUGGUCAGUUAGGCUGUGUAAUAUGCACCGUUAAGCAGUCUGUUGCUUUAAUGCCUUAAUUGUCAAGUUUCAUUUACUUCAGUGUAAUGACAACUGGUCAUUUGGAUGAAAUAAAAUUUUAUGAUUUACUACCUGAAGCUGUAAU